rnacentral:rRNA from 1 species
CCCUUAGAUGUCCUGGGCCGCACGCGCGCUACACUGAUGCAUUCAACGAGUUUUACCUUGGCCGAGAGGCCUGGGCAAUCUUUUAAACCUGCAUCGUGAUAGGGAUAGAUUAUUGCAAUUAUUAAUCUUGAACGAGGAGUUCCUAGUAAACGCAGAUCAUCAAUCUGCAUUGAUUACGUCCCUGCCCUUUGUACACACCGCCCGUCGCGCCUACCGAUUGAAUGGUCCGGUGAAGCCUCGGGAUUGUGGCCAGUUCACUUUAUUGGGAGUUGGCUGCGAGAACUUGUCUAAACCUUAUCAUUUAGAGGAAGGUGAAGUCGUAACA